rnacentral:tRNA from 1 species
GCUGGUGUAGCUUAAUUAAA